rnacentral:tRNA from 1 species
GCGGUUGUGGCGGAACGGCAGACGCACCAUCUUGAGGGGGUGGCGAGCAACGCUCGUGUGGGUUCAAAUCCCACCAACCGCACCA